rnacentral:rRNA from 1 species
AACAGGAUUAGAUACCCUGGUAGUCCACCCCGUAAACGUUGGGAACUAGUUGUGGGGACCAUUCCACGGUUUCCGUGACGCAGCUAACGCAUUAAGUUCCCCGCCUGGGGAGUACGGCCGCAAGGCUAAAACUCAAAGGAAUUGACGGGGACCCGCACAAGCGGCGGAGCAUGCGGAUUAAUUCGAUGCAACGCGAAGAACCUUACCAAGGCUUGACAUAUACGAGAACGGGCCAGAAAUGGUCAACUCUUUGGACACUCGUAAACAGGUGGUGCAUGGUUGUCGUCAGCUCGUGUCGUGAGAUGUUGGGUUAAGUCCCGCAACGAGCGCAACCCUCGUUCUAUGUUGCCAGCACGUAAUGGUGGGAACUCAUGGGAUACUGCCGGGGUCAACUCGGAGGAAGGUGGGGAUGACGUCAAAUCAUCAUGCCCCUUAUGUCUUGGGCUUCACGCAUGCUACAAUGGCCGGUACAAAGGGCUGCAAUACCGUGAGGUGGAGCGAAUCCCAAAAAGCCGGUCCCAGUUCGGAUUGAGGUCUGCAACUCGACCUCAUGAAGUCGGAGUCGCUAGUAAUCGCAGAUCAGCAACGCUGCGGUGAAUACGUUCCCGGGUCUUGUACACACCGCCCGUCAAGUCAUGAAAGUCGGUAACACCUGAAGCCGGUGGCCCAACCCUUGUGGAGGGAGCCGUCGAAAGUGGGAUCGGUAAUUAGGACUAAGUCGUAACAAGGUAGCC